ensembl:lncRNA
AAACAACACUUGGAUGUUUAGAUGCUGGUCCUCUGCCUCCAGUGUGUGUUUGUCCUUUAAUCCAGACAUUAUUAUUAAGAGACAAACAGUCAGAGAAACAAUCUGUGCAAAACUCUCAGGGAAGAACCAACAGCUGAUGGUGGACCUGGAAUUAGUAUCAACUAUAUCGUAGAAAUGAACAGAACAUACCAAAAAAACCCUAUCCAGAUAAAUGUUGCCAUCCGGAUGGAGUGAAUGUGAUUGUGGUUGGAUGAGAAGUGUUGGGAGCGGCUAGGGGGUCGUAUUAGGUUACUAGCAAAUGAGGAACUAACUUAUGGACAUUAAUAGAAUUAUUAAUAAUCACUAAGAUACUUCUGAGAAUGAAUAAAUAACGGGGCACCACCCUGAGCUAACAGGGACCAAUAACCAAUACUAUAAAUCAAGUCUCAUAAUUGAUAUUCACUCCUUGAGAGUGAAGAUGUUGGAAGGAGUUAAGUUCGAGCACUGGCGAUGUAUGUCAACGGUCACCACCAUAUAAAUGCACAAGUAAACACAGGAACACCGAUCAAGAUCACCUAUAACUGCAACCAACAAUCCCCAUAACACUUAUUUUAAACCUACUCACUACAUAAGCAAUCAAAACCAGUGUGUGUGUGUGUGUGUGUGUGUGUGUGUGUGUGUGUGUGUGUGUGUGUGUGUGUGAGCACAGAGGGGGUGAGAGAGAGAGGGGGGGAGACGAGGGGGGUGCAGGGAAGGAACGGCGGUGCGGUUGCGCGCAACAACAAGCGGAGUGCCGGUUAUCACACUAGGGGGCGAGCGAGAGCAGCGGGGCGGAAGUGAGACCGUUAAAUCAAACCACCGAGGAAGACGGGAACGUUAAACAGUGUAAUACGACUACUGGACGCGAGGGGCGAGCGAGAGCGAAAUGCAGGAAGUGUUCCACGUAUUAAAGCAGGGGGUCCAAACUUUUUUCACUGAGGGCCACAGACAGAAAAAUAUGCGAAAGGUUGAGCCGCUCACUAAAGUUAAGGUAUCUCACCUCUAGUGUAUUAAUAGUAAUACAAAUCAAUCAAUCAAAUGUAGGUCAAUUAUGUUAAUUUAUUAUACGUACAGAAAAAAGAAAAACCUGCAUAAAUCACAUCUCUCCAUUAAUGGGUUUUCAUUUUUUUUACAAAGAGGGUUGGCAGCUCAUCCUCAGAUUGCUUCUUCGUCAGGAUGGGGACCCCCUUCACAGCCCUGUAUAAAGAGGGAAGGCUUUAUUUAACCUACUUAUGCAAAUCAUUUAUCAGCUAACGUGUUUUAGAAAAUCAACUUUAAUUGACUGCAUUUAUUAAGUAAUUGGGCUUUUGAACACAUGAAUACUGUGUAAUAUAUUUGAACUCGCCUACAAUGGGAACAGUGUUGCACUUAAUGGGAGCAGUGAUGCUGCUCUGGACUGAAGGACGGCUGGCAGGUCACGAGUAAGUUUGCUGGUUGAGAUGUGAAGGACAUCACAGAGACGGCUGUCGCUCAUUUUGGUUCUCAAUCUGCUUUUGUUCAGAGUUCACAGAGAAAAUGUUUGCUCGCAUAUGUAUGUUGUGCCAAACAGACUGGUCAUUCUUUUUGCGUGGCGUCGCAUCAGAGGAAACUUGGCCUUUUCCAAGCUCCGGUAGAAGUCGGGUAGGGAGAGGAGCUGCAUCUCGAUGAGUUCUAGUUGCAGACUCUCUUCCACUUCUUCUGCAUCCAGCAGGAAG